rnacentral:rRNA from 1 species
GUAGGAAAUCUUCCACAAUGGGCGAAAGCCUGAUGGAGCAACGCCGCGUGUGUGAUGAAGGGUUUCGGCUCGUAAAACACUGUUGUAAGAGAAGAAUGACAUUGAGAGUAACUGUUCAAUGUUUGACGGUAUCUUACCAGAAAGGAACGGCUAAAUACGUGUCAG